AGCAGCCGCCACGGUAAUACGGAGGGUGCAAGCGUUAAUCGGAAUUACUGGGCGUAAAGCGCACGCAGGCGGUCUGACAAGUCAGAUGUGAAAUCCCGGGGCUCAACCUGGGAACUGCAUUUGAAACUGGCAAGCUAGAGUCUCGUAGAGGGGGGUAGAAUUCCAGGUGUAGCGGUGAAAUGCGUAGAGAUCUGGAGGAAUACCGGUGGCGAAGGCGGCCCCCUGGACGAAGACUGACGCUCAGGUGCGAAAGCGUGGGGAGCAAACAGGAUUAGAUACCCGUGUAGUCCCUGUCUCUUAUAC
rnacentral:rRNA from 1 species